rnacentral:rRNA from 1 species
CACGUAGGGUGCGAGCGUUGUCCGGAAUUAUUGGGCGUAAAGAGCUCGUAGGCGGUGUGUCGCGUCGGCCGUGAAAACCUGCAGCUUAACUGUGGGCGUGCGGUCGAUACGGGCAUCACUGGAGUUCGGCAGGGGAGACUGGAAUUCCUGGUGUAGCGGUGAAAUGCGCAGAUAUCAGGAGGAACACCAGUGGCGAAGGCGGUCCCCUGGGCCGGAACUGACGCUGAGGCGCGAAAGCGUGGGGAGCGAACAGG